AAGCGCUCCUGCAUUGGCUUAAACCGUUCAGUAGUCAUCUUCCGACAGAAGAAGAACGAUCGUGUGAAUAAACUUAACACAUUAUGAGACUAUUGUUUGUGAACUUCGUGCUAUUUAUUGGUUUAGUUUCAACUAUUGCCAUACCUAUUGAACAAAAUGGGUACAGCGAGAAUCAAAUACACUCAACCACAUACAAAUAUCAGUAUAUAGCAGAUGCCUACACGUAUUCGCCGUUUGCUCCAAAAACAAGUCCCACAACAACAACGACGACGACGACAACAACGACUCCCAAACCGAAGAAAGUUGUUUGGUAUAAUCCAAAAACAUGGGGUUAACAGUGGAAUUGGUCAAAAAUUUCAACAAACAAUUGUGUACUCUACAUCUUCAAAAUGAUGAUACAAGAGUUUGAUUUUUUUUCUGUUUAUUGCUGAACGAUUAGUAACAUUAUUGCUGUUUUCACAGAAUGAGACACACACGAAUUAAACCUAACAUAUUACUGCCGAUUGGAAUCGAACUGUCUGAUAUAAAUUGUUAUUAAUUAAACAUCUCUAAUUAUUAUAAAAUUCAUACCUUAGAAACUAAAGUUGAUUGAAAUUCAAAUUGUAUCCUCGCUUUUCACUUUCGCUUUGCAGAAUAUUGAUUACUAUAGAAAAAAACAAUUAGGCUGCUCCGAGCUCACCGAACAAACCCCAAUCCAACAAACAGCAAAAGGAAAAAAUACACCUUGAUAACAUUUGCUGGAUUUGGUUAUCGCUCUAAAUAACAAAUUUUUGGUAGACAACACCUAAACUACACCGAACAUUUGGAACAUAACAUUAAAUCACAUAUGAAAAUACAUUAACACAUGAAAAUAAUAUGAAAUAAUAAUGUUUCAAAUAUAUGACGCGAGUUUUUUUUUGAUCGUGGUAUAAUCAAAACGUCACUGUACUCAUAUUUAGGUUGAACUUGAUGCUAUAAAGACUCAAUAAAGUUAUAUAUAGACUUAAUAA